GGGGGCGAUCGGAUUUGACUGGGUCAUCGUCGAUCAGGGUGGCGUGUCGUGGUUGAUCAGCAGGCCACGUAAAAAGCUGAUCAAACAAUAUCUGCUAAUCCGCAGUAUUCUCUCGCUGCCUAGUAAUAGGUAGUGCCGGACAAGGAAUCCCCGUCUGAGGAGUCCGAAGUCUGGUUGCAAAUUCAGACUGGCAUAGGUUCAACGUUCGCUACGGCCUUUGCGAGAUUUGUGGUGAACUGGUGACAGCAGGUCUUGUUCGGAGAACCUCGCAGUCAUGAGAUUAAUCAACGGACUACACACGUAGAAGCUCUGGUUAAGAGUCCACAGGACGCGGGUUCGAUUCCCGCCGCCUCCAU
rnacentral:tmRNA from 1 species